GCCUGGGUGGCUCAGUCGGUUGAGCGUUGGACUUGGGCUCAGGUCAUGAUCUCACAGUUCGUGGGUUCAAGCCCCGCGUCAGGCU
rnacentral:tRNA from 1 species